GAUGAAGAACGCAGCGAAAUGCGAUACUUGGUGUGAAUUGCAGAAUCCCGUGAACCAUCGAGUCUUUGAACGCAAGUUGCGCCCGAAGCCAUUAGGCCGAGGGCACGCCUGCCUGGGCGUCACACGUCGUUGCCCCCCCAUCUACUCCUUCGGGAUUGCGGGGGGCGGAUGAUGGCCUCUCGUGCGCCUCGUCGCGCGGUUGGCCUAAAUGCCAAGUCCUCGGCGACGCACGCCACGACAAUCGGUGGUUGCGAAACCUCGGUUGCCUGUCGUGUGCGGUCGUCGCGCAUCGAGGGCUCGAAAAAAUUGCCGGGCUUCGGCUCGACUUUCAACGCGACCCCAGGUCAGGCGGGGUUACCCGCUGAAUUUAAGCAUAUUCAAUAAGCGGAGGA
rnacentral:misc_RNA from 1 species